UUUCAUCCGCCGCUCCACAAUUCUUUCACUCUCUAAACCCUAGAUCCUCCACCGCAUAACUGAAGCACCUCCACCGCAUAACUGAAGCACCUCCACCGCACCUCCACCGCUCAUCCAUGGAACCUGUCUUUGCCGUCACCGUCUUCUCCCCUUUCAUCCAUGGAACAGGUCAUGUUUUUAACCCUAUUUUGUACGUUUUUUUUAAUCUUUGUCAGAUCUGUGAUAAUACUUUUACAUCUGUUUUAAUACUUUUAGAUCUGUGAUAAUAUUUUUAGAUCUGUGAAUCCGUGAUAAUACUUUUAGAUCUGUGAUAAUACUUUUAGAUCUGUGUUGGUUUUGUGAUUAUUUUAAUGUUCUGUGAAUGGAUCAACAUUAGGGCUUUUUGUUUGAUAAUUAGGGCUUUGUCAGAUCUGUGAAUGGACCAAUUUUAAUUUCUUGCAUUAGGGCUUUGUCAGAUCUCUGAUAAUACUUUUAGAUCUGUUUUAAUACUUUUAGAUCUGUGAUAAUACUUUUAGAUCUGUGAAUCUGUGAUAAUUCUUUUAGAUCUGUGAUAAUACUUUUAGAUCUAUGUUGGUUUUGUGAUUAUUUUAAUGUUCUGUGAGAUUUAUAGAGAAAACGUAAUUUCUGUUUCAUAAUUAGGGCUUUUUGUUUGAUGUAAUCGGUUACUGAAUUAUGGUUUUGUUUGUAAGGAGAAUCCGAUUGCAAGCUCACCGGCGAAGGAAGCAUACAGGAAUCGGCUGGCGGUUCCCUGUUGUCUACGUAUCAUCUAGGUCACCUGAAUCUUCACAACUCAGUUAAUUAUGUGCCCUAAUUUGGGUUUUCAUGUGAAGUCCUUUAGCUACGAGUUUGAAGUUUCAUUUUGGAUCUAUUUGUUUGUUUUUAUCCAAUCCAUCAUGAAUGAAACGGAACCCUAGUAGCUGGCUGUUGUAAAUUUGAAUGAAGAUGCGGUAGACAUUAGGGGUUUACAUGUCCUCAUAUGCAUUCUGUUCUACACCAGCUUAUUUUUACACAUAUAUUGUAUGAUUUCUACAACUAUGAUGCCGGAGACACAAAAUUCAGUCAACUUUUUUCAAAUUUUACACAGGUUUCAGUCAACUUUUUUCAAUGUUUACACAGGGUAUGUUGCAGUGUAUUCAGAUGUUUUUCUUGCUGCACUAACGUUGAUUCCUUAUGAGUUUGUCGUGUUUGAGGAUGGUCAGAAGAACCUGAGCUACACCGAGCUUGUAAAUAAAGUUGCUCACAACGUCUUUGAUGUUGCUGUUGGUGAUAUUUUAAUCAUCACUAACCGUACCAAGGUUGUUGACUUCACACAGCCUUAUAUAGAAUCAGGUUGAGUUUUAGUGGUCCCUACAAAGAAACAAGAGUCGAGUGCUUGGGUUUUCUUGCGGCCAUUUACUCCACAAAUAUGGGUCGUCACCACGGUUUUAUUCAUCAUAUUUGGAAUUGUUUUAUGAAUACUAGAACACAUGCAGAAUGAAGAAUUAGGGACCCACCCAAGCAAAAGUUGGUCACCAUCUUGUGAACUCUCAACUCAUCAGUAACGUCUGCACUGUAACGUCUGCACUGAUGCUCUUUCGGCUGAAAAGGGUGAACAGUGGUGAAAAGAGGGAACAAUGGUCAGAAGCAUGCUUCCUGUACAACAUCUACUUUUGUCAUUGAAAACUUAAGUUUUUAGGAGUGCAACAAGCAGCAGACAUUAUGAAUUGAUGAGUUCAACACAACCUGCACAUGUCACUUUUAAAUUUGCAUGAGUUCAUUGGGUGUUUGGAUGCAGAAUCCCCAAAGUAACAGAUUUGAUUAGGGGGAUGGUGGUUUUGAUUCCUUUGUUCCAGUGUGUUAGGACAUUUUUUUUCUUUAAUUUUAAAAAAGUUGUAUUUUCAAAUUAAAAGAAAUCUGAUUAGGAAUCCUUGGUAGGAACUUUUUUUUGUACGCAUGAGUUGCAACUGAGUUUAUUUGGUAUGACCUAA